rnacentral:lncRNA from 1 species
UCAAGAAAAACUGUCAAAUUUUUAAAAAGUUUCACUGUUAGCUGAACCUCCAAAUAAAUAAGUUCCAAGUGGUCGGUGGCUUUUUGAACAAAAAAAGGAAUCACCUUUUAGUUGUUUUUUUUUUAUACGGAAGCUAUCGUAAUUAAGUUGAAGGAGGAGAAAGUUUUGUUUUGUUGAAGGAGAAAAGUAUUAAUUUGGUAAAAAUUUGGGAUGAUUGCUAUCGGCCACUUGGAACCACUGGAAUAUUCAUCCCACUAACAUCAGGGAUGAAAUAAAAAAAAAACUUUAGCGCAGUCACGGGGUAGCCUAGGAGCUGGAAUCGUCUUUUGAGUUGGUUUUUGGACUAUCAUUAUUUUGUUUGGAACUUUGGAAAAGACUUUACGUUAGUUGGUGUUGGACAGUGAUUAAGUAUUUUUUUUAUUAUUAUUUUCAAGAACAUUAAUUUUUUCUAAAUAAUUGGAACAUUAAAUAUCUAUUAAAAAUAUCAAAUUAAAUAAGUUUACAUUAUACUCCACUAAGUUAUUCAUAAUUUUUCAAA